UUGUAUAUGCAUAUUUAGAUCGGAUUAUGAUAUAUUUAUUAUGUUACAAAAGAAUUUUGAUGUGCAUCAGAUUUAGAACUCUCAGCCUGGCUAUGUUCUGGACCCUGCCAAUAGUGGGUUAUGCAUUGGCAAUUCUGGCCCCACCAUAGGAUAUAAGUGUGGUAUUCUGGCCCACUCCGCAGGGUAUAAGUGCAGUAUUCUGGCCCACUCCGCAGGGUAUAAGUGCGGUUCUGUUUCUGGCCUAGCCACAGGGUAUAAGUGUGGUCGUAGCUAAAGGCUGAUGAGAUGAAUGUGAUUUAUUUCGAAUCAGAUUUAUGAUUAUGUAUGUGGAUAUUUGAAAGAUACGGAUUUCAAUGAAUUUGUGCUUGAAAAGGAAUUGAUUAUGUUAUUAUGUUGAUUCAUCGUAAUUUGUAUUUAUAUUUUAUCUUAUUAUAUGAAUUGACUAGUUAAGGUGUUUAUUACUUACUGGGCUGUCUAGCUCAUUAUACGAUUUCUUACUGUUUUUACAGAUCCGAAGAAUUAGCUCGAUCCGGGGUUUUACAAUAUGGGAG
rnacentral:lncRNA from 1 species